AGAAGUUUUGCAUGUGUAGCUGAG
rnacentral:miRNA from 1 species